AUCCCAGAAUCCAUUUCGCAAGAGUUCUGUGGAAAUGGUUGAGGAGAAGACCCACAAAAGUUAAAUACUUCUAUAGUUGUAAUAUGCAGUGUAUUUUCAAUGCAUUUUUAUGUGAGAAUAUAGGUAUUUAAAAUUCUAAUGUUUAGUACAUUUAACAGUAGAGACACUUAUAAAUUUCCUGUGCUUUUUUUCGGAGACACCUUGCCUGCCAAAUAGCAAGCACGAGGUUCAGUGUGCCCGAAGAAAACUGCCUUAUCUCGACAUUUCAUUUGGAAAUUUGCCACAAUCUUUAAAGGCUCUGAUAUAAAUCGCUUUGGACACGCGAGGAAACACGGGCUCUCAUUGAGUGGCGGGCAGCAAAUGAGAGUCUUUUUACUGGAAGGAGAAAUUCCUGCAAGACUAGAUGAGAGGACUUUGUUAGCUCUUCAGGCUAUAACAGCAAAACAAGCAAAAAAAGUGGAACAACCUGAAGGCCAAAUACAAGGGACCCAUCUACAGGGAAGGGUGUAGAGGCAGGUAGCCCGACUGCCACCACCUGGCAGCGGUACAAUAUGAUGGAUGCUGUGCUCCAGUGGCAGCGCUCAAAAAGUCUACCAGCAACCUGACUUUCACAACAGGUGAUGCAAUCAGCGCUACACCCUCGACCCCUUCUACAGAAGAGGCCCAGGGACAGCCAGGCUAUCCGUUUUUAAAGGACCAACCAGAAAGAGAGGAAGACAGAGAGAGAGACAGGCUCCGGCUAGGGAGGAAGAGAGGGAGAGGGCAGCUACUCAAAGGGCAGAGUGAUAUCGGUCACUAUUUGAGAAACUUGUUGACAAACUUUAAAUAAAGCACUUUAAAUGUCAAAUGUGAAGUGAGAUUUUUCUGUCAGGGUGAUCUCUUUACUAAAACUUACACUUGU
ensembl:lncRNA